rnacentral:rRNA from 1 species
AUUGAACGCUGGCGGCAUGCCUUACACAUGCAAGUCGAACGGCAGCACGGGAGCAAUCCUGGUGGCGAGUGGCGAACGGGUGAGUAAUAUAUCGGAACGUGCCCAGUCGUGGGGAUAACGUAGCGAAAGCUACGCUAAUACCGCAUACGAUCUAUGGAUGAAAGCGGGGGAUCGCAAGACCUCGCGCGAUUGGAGCGGCCGAUAUCAGAUUAGGUAGUUGGUGAGGUAAAGGCUCACCAAGCCGACGAUCUGUAGCUGGUCUGAGAGGACGACCAGCCACACUGGGACUGAGACACGGCCCAGACUCCUACGGGAGGCAGCAGUGGGGAAUUUUGGACAAUGGCGCAAGCCUGAUCCAGCAAUGCCGCGUGCAGGAUGAAGGCCUCGGUUGGUUAACUAGUACUUUUGUUACGGUAACGAACGGUA